GCCUUCGUGAUGUAGGGGUCAGCACGCUAGGCGCGUAUUCUAGAGAUCCGUGGUUCGAGUCCCGGAGAAGGCG
rfam:Stegodyphus mimosarum contig104961, whole genome shotgun sequence.